rnacentral:rRNA from 1 species
GACGAACGCUGGCGGCGUGCUUAACACAUGCAAGUCGAACGGAAAGGCCCUGCUUUUGUGGGGUGCUCGAGUGGCGAACGGGUGAGUAACACGUGAGUAACCUGCCCUUGACUUUGGGAUAACUUCAGGAAACUGGGGCUAAUACCGGAUAGGAGCUCCUGCUGCAUGGUGGGGGUUGGAAAGUUUCGGCGGUUGGGGAUGGACUCGCGGCUUAUCAGCUUGUUGGUGGGGUAGUGGCUUACCAAGGCUUUGACGGGUAGCCGGCCUGAGAGGGUGACCGGCCACAUUGGGACUGAGAUACGGCCCAGACUCCUACGGGAGGCAGCAGUGGGGAAUAUUGCCCAAUGGGCGGAAGCCUGAUGCAGCACCGCCGCGUGCGGGAUGACGCCCUUCGGGUUGUAAACCGCUUUCGCCUGUGACGAAGCGUGAGUGACGGUAAUGGGUAAAGACGCACCGGCUAACUACGUG